GAGUUUGAUCCUGGCUCAGAUUGAACGCUGGCGGCAUGACCUUACACAUGACAAGUACGAACGGUUAACGCCGGGGGCAAACCCGUGGCGAACGAGUGGCGAACGGGUAGGAGUAAUAACAUCGGAACGUGUCCUGGAGUGGGGGGAUAGCUCGGCGAAAGCCGGAUUAAUACCGCAUACGCUCUGAGGAGGAAAGCGGGGGGACCUUCGGGCCUCGCGCUGCGGGAGCGGCCGAUGUCGGAUUAGCUAGUUGGUGGGGUAAAGGCCUACCAAGGCGACGAUCCGUAGCUGGUCUGAGAGGAUGAUCAGCCACACUGGGACUGAGACAGGCCCAGACU
rnacentral:rRNA from 1 species